UACGGAGGGUGCAAGCGUUAUCCGGAUUCACUGGGGUUAAAGGGUGCGUAGGCGGCUAAAUAAGUCAGUGGUGAAAGCUUACAGCUUAACUGUGAAACUGCCAUUGAAACUGUUUAGCUUGAAUCUGGUUGAAGUGGGCGGAAUACAUCAUGUAGCGGUGAAAUGCUUAGAGAUGUGGAGGAAUACCGAUGGCGAAGGCAGCCCCCUGGGAUAACACUGACGCUCAUGCACGAAAGCGUGGGGAGCAAACAGG
rnacentral:rRNA from 1 species